CAAGUCGAGGGGCAGCAUGACUGUAGCAAUACAGUUGAUGGCGACCGGCAAACGGGUGCGGAACACGUACAGAACCUUCCUUCGAGCGGGGAAUAGCCCAGAGAAAUUUGGAUUAAUACCCCAUAGUAUUACGGAGUGGCAUCACUUUGUAAUUAAAGAUUUAUCACUUGAAGAUGGCUGUGCGGCUGAUUAGGUAGUUGGCGGGGUAAUGGCCCACCAAGCCUGCGAUCAGUAACUGGUGUGAGAGCACGACCAGUCACACGGGCACUGAGACACGGGCCCGACUCCUACGGGAGGCAGCAGUAAGGAAUAUUGGUCAAUGGACGAAAGUCUGAACCAGCCAUGCCGCGUGGAGGAUGAAGGUCCUCUGGAUUGUAAACUUCUUUUAUAUGGGACGAAAAAAGGCUUUUCUAAGUCGUCUGACGGUACCAUAUGAAUAAGCACCGGCUAACUCCGUGCCAGCAGCCGCGGUAAUACGGAGGGUGCAAGCGUUAUCCGGAUUCACUGGGUUUAAAGGGUGCGUAGGUGGGUCUGUAAGUCCGUGGUGAAAUCUCCGAGCUUAACUUGGAAACUGCCAUGGAUACUAUAGGUCUUGAAUACCGUGGAGGUCAGCGGAAUAUGUCAUGUAGCGGUGAAAUGCUUAGAUAUGACAUAGAACACCAAUUGCGAAGGCAGCUGGCUACACGAAUAUUGACACUGAGGCACGAAAGCGUGGGGAUCAAACAGGAUUAGAUACCCUGGUAGUCCACGCCCUAAACUAUGGAUACUCGACAUACGCGAUACACUGUGUGUGUCUGAGCGAAAGCAUUAAGUAUCCCACCUGGGAAGUACGAUCGCA
rnacentral:rRNA from 1 species